rnacentral:rRNA from 1 species
UACGGAGGGUGCAAACGUUGCUCGGAAUCAUUGGGCGUAAAGGGCGCGUAGGCGGCUUCUCAAGCGUGCGGUGAAAGUCAGGGGCUCAACCCCUGAUCGGCCGUGCGAACUGGGGGGCUGGAGCACUGUAGAGGCAGGCGGAAUUCCGGGUGUAGCGGUGGAAUGCGUAGAGAUCCGGAAGAACACCGGUGGCGAAGGCGGCCUGCUGGGCAGUGGCUGACGCUGAGGCGCGACAGCGUGGGGAGCAAACAGG